GUACAUGUGACCUAAGUGGUUAGAGCGUCCGCCUCGGAUGCUGGAGGUCGUGGAUUCGAAUCCCAGCUGUGUUUUAUA